GCAAGUCGAACGCGAAAGGAGACUUCGGUCUCUGAGUAAAGUGGCGCACGGGUGAGUAACACGUGGAUAAUCUACCCAAUGAUCUGGGAUAACAUUUCGAAAGGGAUGCUAAUACCUGAUAAGCCCACGAUGUCUUCGGACAAUGUGGGAAAAGGUGGGGACCUUCGGGCCUACUGUCAUUGGAUGAGUCCGCGGCCCAUUAGCUAGUUGGUGGGGUAAUGGCCUACCAAGGCUUCGAUGGGUAGCUGGUCUGAGAGGAUGAUC
rnacentral:rRNA from 1 species